rnacentral:rRNA from 1 species
UACGUAGGGUGCAAGCGUUAAUCGGAAUUACUGGGCGUAAAGCGUGCGCAGGCGGUCCGCUAAGACAGAUGUGAAAUCCCCGGGCUUAACCUGGGAACUGCAUUUGUGACUGGCGGGCUAGAGUAUGGCAGAGGGGGGUAGAAUUCCACGUGUAGCAGUGAAAUGCGUAGAGAUGUGGAAGAAUACCGAUGGCGAAGGCAGCCCCCUGGGCCAAUACUGACGCUCAUGCACGAAAGCGUGGGGAGCAAACAGG